rnacentral:pre_miRNA from 1 species
UCUUAUGGAUGCUCAAAGAAAGUGGUUUCUUAUGAUAGACUCUACUCCUGGUGAAGAUGCUGUGAA